CAGAAAAGAAGAAGAAACAAUAUACAACAGAGGGCUGGUUCAAGCUUAGAUGAAGCCAAAGUAUUGCAAUGCCUGCAUAUAUAACUUAGUGAAGUACUUUGAUCUUGAUCUUGGUUAAGACUUUUCCAGCAAUAAAGAAAAUUGUUAAACGGAAUCUCGGUCACUUGAUUGAGCAAAACAAGGAAAUUAGCUAUACCAUUUACUGUAAUGAAAGUGAAAUUAGUAAAAAGUAAACCCAUAAUAAAAAAAA
rnacentral:lncRNA from 1 species